rnacentral:rRNA from 1 species
UUUCACAAUGGACGAAAGUCUGAUGGAGCAAUACCACGUGAACGAUGAAGGUCUUCUGAUUGUAAAGUUCUUUUAUUUAGGAAAAAAAGCGCGCUAGGAAAUGAGCGCGCCUUGAUGGUACUAAUUGAAUAAGUGACAGCUAACUAUGUGCCAGCAGCUGCGGUAAAACAUAGGUCACAAGCAUUAUCCGGAUUUAUUGGGCGUAAAGGAAGCGUAGGCGGGGAGGCUGAUCCAUUGUUAA